rnacentral:rRNA from 1 species
GUGUCAGCCGCCGCGGUAAUACGGGGGGGGCAAGCGUUGUUCGGAAUUACUGGGCGUAAAGGGCGCGUAGGCGGCCUUCUAAGUCAGACGUGAAAUCCCCAGGCUCAACCUGGGAACUGCGUCUGAUACUGGAGGGCUUGAAUCCGGGAGAGGGAUGUGGAAUUCCAGGUGUAGCGGUGAAAUGCGUAGAUAUCUGGAGGAACACCGGUGGCGAAGGCGGCAUCCUGGACCGGUAUUGACGCUGAGGCGCGAAAGCCAGGGGAGCAAACGGGAUUAGAAACCCGAGUAGUCC